GCAAGGUGCAGAAUUAUUUUUGCAAUAUGUUCCUGAAUAUGUAAUCUAAGUGUAUUGGGGACAUUUUGCAUCCAUAGUUUUGUAUCGAUAUG
rnacentral:pre_miRNA from 14 species